UGACUUACUUCUCAUUUCAAGACUUGACUGUGUCUAGAGUAACAUUACAUUGACUUACUUGUCAUUUCAAGACUUGACUGUGUCUAGAGUAACAUUACAUUCUAACAAUGAAGUUUUUUGUUGUACUUUGUCUCUUGACAUUUAUUGCAACUCUAUCAUUGACUGAAGGCCUUCCCAUGUUGAUUAACAGUCUAUGUAUUGGACAGUCGACUUGUUUUGUCAGUCCCUGCAUGUUUGCUAAUUGUCCAGGAGGAUGCGUUGAAACAUGUAACUGUGGCCAUACCUGCACUUUAUAACAUCUAAAGCAGCAAUUACAUUUUCAUGUUUCACAUAUACAAAUAUAAUAAAUAAAAAAACAUUUUAUUGUUUAAA